rnacentral:rRNA from 1 species
CAUGCAAGUCGAACGGCAGCGCGGGAGCAAUCCUGGCGGCGAGUGGCGAACGGGUGAGUAAUACAUCGGAACGUGCCCAAUCGUGGGGGAUAACGCAGCGAAAGCUGUGCUAAUACCGCAUACGAUCUACGGAUGAAAGCAGGGGAUCGCAAGACCUUGCGCGAAUGGAGCGGCCGAUGGCAGAUUAGGUAGUUGGUGAGGUAAAGGCUCACCAAGCCUUCGAUCUGUAGCUGGUCUGAGAGGACGACCAGCCACACUGGGACUGAGACACGGCCCAGACUCCUACGGGAGGCAGCAGUGGGGAAUUUUGGACAAUGGGCGAAAGCCUGAUCCAGCCAUGCCGCGUGCAGGAUGAAGGCCUUCGGGUUGUAAACUGCUUUUGUACGGAACGAAACGGCCUUUUCUAAUAAAGAGGGCUAAUGACGGUACCGUAAGAAUAAGCACCGGCUAACUACGUGCCAGCAGCCGCGGUAAUACGUAGGGUGCAAGCGUUAAUCGGAAUUACUGGGCGUAAAGCGUGCGCAGGCGGUAAUGUAAGACAGUUGUGAAAUCCCCGGGGCUCAACCUGGGAACUGCAUCUGUGACUGCAUUGCUGGAGUACGGUAGAGGGGGAUGGAAUUCCGCGUGUAGCAGUGAAAUGCGUAGAUAUGCGNAGGAACACCGAUGGCGAAGCAAUCCCCUGGACCUGUACUGACGCUC